CCAUUCCCCGUCCCUGCCCCUUCCCGCCCGGCAGCGCUAUCGCGCUCUCCUCUGCGCGGCGCUGGAGGCCACGGAUGCUUCCCUGUGAGCGCGGUGCCCUGCGGGUCCCUCUGUCAGAGCAGAAUUUUGUAUUCCUGAGACAACACUGACACUCGCACACACACACGCACAGAGUCUCGAGUGGGGAGGUUUGGGGCGGUCGCUCGAUGCUGCGCGGCGGGACCGGUGUCGCAGCGAGUGACCCGGUUUGUGAGGCGAAGCCUCGCACGGAGAUUGAUGGGUUGAGUGGUUAUUGGGAAAUUCAUCGUAUUUCAUCCCAUUUGAUCAGCAUCCCCCCGCCAGCCCCGGCUGUGCGUACGCUCACCCAAGGAUAACAUAACCAGGGUGAGAAAACUCUGAAAACACUACAGCUGCUGAGAAUGGAAGCUAUUCUGAAGUGUUGAGAAAAGAAAGUCACAAAAGAUGGGAGUCCACCUGGUUUCCUUGGGAUUCAGACAGACUGAAGAAAGACUGAAAACUGUAUCUCCUCAGAAAAGCAGUUCAGUGCAAAUUUAACCCCCGGAGCAGUGCCUGGUUUGUCUUCAGUUCCAGAGCAAGCAGAGGUAAGCAGCCAAGAGCAAGCACCCCGCAGCAAAGGGGGGCAAAAGCCAUCGCAGCCAAGCCUGGUAAAUGCAGCUCCUGCUGGAAUGGCUGGGUGAUCGAUGGCAUCUAGGGAAAAGCCUCGCUCCAGCUGACCUCUGUGCUGUGCAGCUGAUGGCAGGGACUUUGUGCUGGCAGAAAAUACAUUGUGUUUCAAACUGUGGCAGAGCUUGAGUCCCUCACUGCAGCAUCUGAGUGGAGAUCUGAAAAAUAUUUUGUUACAGUUCUUACUGGUACCUCUGGAAUAAGGGUUAUAAUGUAUCUAAUAGUGCUGCGUUCCUAUCAGCAUGACUAGGAUGAGGGAAAAGUGGAAUUUAAUUCCUGCCAGUGAAGUUUCAGCAGCAGUAAGUCAUGUACUGACUGACUUCACUAGGAUUACCCUAAAAACACCUUAAGGCACUUUCUGUUCUUGGGCUGCACUAGAUCCCUCUGUGCACCCCAGCUUUGAAAGCCUUCUCAGGAAUAGUGCAGAUCUGGGUGCUCCUGCACCUACAACCCUGAAUCCUUGUCAAGGCAAGAGAAGGUGGCCAGGAAUACAGAAAUUUCAUUCCUUCAGCAUUACCUAAGUCAAUGUCUUGCUGUUUAAGAAUGGUGUGUUAAGGGUAAAGGAAAUGGAAUUUGUCAAAGCAGGGAAAAGGGAAAGCUCAAGAUCUGGGUGUGAUGGUGUGGUAAUCAGUAAAGAAACUUCAUUUAAGAUCAGCAUCAGCCCCUCUUCUGCCUGAUUAACUGCUAGGGGAGUUUUUUUAUUUUCUAUUGGUAAAGUUUAGUGAGUGAUAAGCAAGAAUAACCAUUAAUUCUUAUCUGCUCCAUGUGGGAACUGGAUGAUCCUCUAACAGCAGAGACAUGACUGGUACUAAGCUCCUUCCAAGUGCUGGGGGACAGGCUGUUUGUGUGCCUUAACCUUCAGUGUUUCAGGGUCUUCAGACAGAAGUUAGAAGAACCCAUGCUAUCUCAGGAGUCCAAUGUGCAAGGGAGCUGGAUAAAAAUCCUCAGCAAGACUGCAUCUGUCUGGUAACCAUUUUAAGCUAAUUUUAUACAAACUUGGUGAAAAUAA